AUGGACUAAUCCAUCCCUUUUUCCCGUUCAUAUGCAUCGGACUCGGAUGACAAUGGUCCCGAUGAAGAAGUUGAUGAGGAGGGGUUCACGCCGAAGGAGGCCGAAGCAUUUGAGAAGGUAUCCCGGAGGGAUCACAAGACACCAUUGUUCAAGGAUCUUAGUCUCGCGGAUGAAGCCGUUGUGGAUGGUGGAAAAUGUAUAUCUCUUGGAGCUAGGCCAAGUUCUCAC
rnacentral:rRNA from 1 species